rnacentral:rRNA from 1 species
GAAGGUUGGGUAACACUAACUGGAGGACCGAACCGACUAAUGUUGAAAAAUUAGCGGAUGACCUGUGGCUGGGGGUGAAAGGCCAAUCAAACCGGGAGAUAGCUGGUUCUCCCCGAAAGCUAUUUAGGUAGCGCCUCGUGAAUUCAUCUCCGGGGGUAGAGCACUGUUUCGGCUAGGGGGCCAUCCCGGCUUACCAACCCGAUGCAAACUGCGAAUACCGGAGAAUGUUAUCACGGGAGACACACGGCGGGUGCUAACGUCCGUCGUGAAGAGGGAAACAACCCAGACCGCCAGCUAAGGUCCCAAAGUCAUGGUUAAGUGGGAAACGAUGUGGGAAGGCCCAGACAGCC